GACGAACGCUGGCGGCGUGCUUAACACAUGCAAGUCGAACGGACAGGCCCUGCUUUUGUGGGGUGCUCGAGUGGCGAACGGGUGAGUAACACGUGAGUAACCUGCCCUUGACUUUGGGAUAACUUCAGGAAACUGGGGCUAAUACCGGAUAGGAGCUCCUGCUGCAUGGUGGUGGUUGGAAAGUUUCGGCGGUUGGGGAUGGACUCGCGGCUUAUCAGCUUGUUGGUGGGGUAGUGGCUUACCAAGGCUUCGACGGGUAGCCGGCCUGAGAGGGUGACCGGCCACAUUGGGACUGAGAUACGGACCAGACUCCUACGGGAGGCAGCAGUGGGGAAUAUUGCACAAUGGGCGGAAGCCUGAUGCAGCAACGCCGCGUGCGGGAUGACGGCCUUCGGGUUGUAAACCGCUUUCGCCUGUGACGAAGAGUGAGUGACGGUAAUGGGUAAAGAAGCACCGGCUAACUACGUG
rnacentral:rRNA from 1 species